GGCUGCCUCUGUCGUGGCCUAGCCGCGUACAAGACAGUCAUCCGUCUGCGAACCAUGCUAGGCCUUCACUGGUCGGUAUGGGGAGCAGGCACUUUACUUUGAAAAAAUUAGAGUGUUCAAGGCAGGCUUUGCCCGAAUACAUUAGCAUGGAAUAAUGGAAUAGGACUUAGUCCAUUUUGUUGGUUAUUGGAUUAGGUA
rnacentral:rRNA from 1 species